rnacentral:rRNA from 1 species
UGGGGAAUCUUCCGCAAUGGCCGAAAGUCUGACGGAGCAACGCCGCGUGAGUGAAGAAGGUUUUCGGAUCGUAAAGCUCUUUCGUUAGGGACGAACGUGCUCUUUGUGAAUAAUGAGGAGUAAUGACGGUACCUAAAUAAGAAGCCACGGCUAACUACGUGCCAGCAGCCGCGGUAAUACGUAGGUGGCAAGCGUUGUCCGGAAUUAUUGGGCGUAAAGCGCGCGCAGGCGGGAUAUCAAGUCUGUCUUAAAAGUGCGAGGCUCAACCUCGUGAGGGGACGGAAACUGGUAUUCUUGAGUGUCGGAGAGGAGAGUGGAAUUCCAAGUGUAGCGGUGAAAUGCGUAGAGAUUUGGAAGAACACCAGUGGCGAAGGCGACUUUCUGGACGAUGUCUGACGCUGAGGCGCGAAAGCUAGGGGAGCGAACGG